rnacentral:misc_RNA from 1 species
GCGGCGAGCGAAGCGGGAAGAGCUCAAAUUUAUAAUCUGGCACCUUCGGUGUCCGAGUUGUAAUCUCUAGAAAUGUUUUCCGCGUUGGACCGCACACAAGUCUGUUGGAAUACAGCGGCAUAGUGGUGAGACCCCCGUAUAUGGUGCGGACGCCCAGCGCUUUGUGAUACAUUUUCGAAGAGUCGAGUUGUUUGGGAAUGCAGCUCAAAUUGGGUGGUAAAUUCCAUCUAAAGCUAAAUAUUGGCGAGAGACCGAUAGCGAACAAGUACCGUGAGGGAAAGAUGAAAAGCACUUUGGAAAGAGAGUUAACAGUACGUGAAAUUGUUGGAAGGGAAACGCUUGAAGUCAGACUUGCUUGCCGAGCAAUCGGUUUGCAGGCCAGCAUCAGUUUUCCGGGAUGGAUAAUGGUAGAGAGAAGGUAGCAGUUUCGGCUGUGUUAUAGCUCUCUGCUGGAUACAUCUUGGGGGACUGAGGAACGCAGUGUGCCUUUGGCGGGGGUUUCGACCUCUUCACACUUAGGAUGCUGGUGGAAUGGCUUUAAACGACCCGUCUU